rnacentral:rRNA from 3 species
AGGGUGCAGGGCGGAUGCCUUGGCACUAGGAGCCGAUGAAGGACGUGAUAAGCUGCGAUAAGCUUCGGGGAGUUGCACGUAAACUUUGAUCCGAAGAUUUCCGAAUGAGGAAACUCACUUAGAGUAAUGUCUAAGUAUCAUUAAGUGAAUACAUAGCUUAAUGAGGGGAACUCAGGGAACUGAAACAUCUAAGUACCUGAAGGAAGAGAAAGAAAUUCGAUUCCGUAAGUAGCGGCGAGCGAACGCGGAUUAGCCCAAACCAAUAAAGUUUUCUUUAUUGGGGUUGCGGACAUAUCAUAACGAAGAGGUAUCGUAAUUGAAGAGGUUUGGAAAGACCCACCACAGAAGGUAAUAGUCCUGUAUGUUAAACGAGAAGACUUCAGAUAUGAUCCAGAGUACCACGGGACACGUGAAACCCUGUGGGAAGCAGGAGGGACCACCCUCCAAGGCUAAAUACUACCUAGUGACCGAUAGCGUAUAGUACCGUGAGGGAAAGGUGAAAAGAACCCCGGGAGGGGAGUGAAAUAGAACCUGAAACCCUGCACUUACAAGCUGUGGAAGCACAUUUCUUGUGUGACCGCGUACUUUUUGUAGAACGGGCCAACGAGUUACGUUAAGUAGCAAGGUUAAGCACUUAAGGUGCGGAGCCGUAGCGAAAGCGAGUUUUAACUGAGCGUUCAGUUACUUGACGUAGACCCGAAACCGGGCGACCUACCCAUGAGCAGGAUGAAGCGAAAGUAAAAUUUCGUGGAGGUCCGAACCCACGAGCGUUGAAAAGCUCGGGGAUGACUUGUGGGUAGCGGUGAAAUUCCAAUCGAGCCCGGAGAUAGCUGGUUCUCCCCGAAAUAGCUUUAGGGCUAGCCUCAAGGUGAGAGAUACGGAGGUAGAGCACUGAAUGUCCUAGGGGGUAUUGCACCUACCGAAGACUAUCAAACUCCGAAUGCCGUCAUCUUAUACUUGGGAGUCAGACUGUGGGUGAUAAGAUUCAUAGUCGAAAGGGCAACAGCCCAGAUCGUCAGCUAAGGUCCCUAAAUGUAAGUUAAGUGGUAAAGGAUGUGGGAUUGCACAGACAACCAGGAUGUUGGCUUAGAAGCAGCCACUCAUUCAAAGAGUGCGUAAUAGCUCACUGGUCGAGUGAUCCUGCGCCGAAGAUUUCCGGGGCUAAAACUUACUACCGAAGCUACGGCAUCAGUAAUGAUGGGUAGGGGAGCUUCCCAUACGGGUUGAAGCAUGACCGUAAGGACAUGUGGACAGUAUGGGAGUGAGAAUGUUGGCAUGAGUAGCGAGAUGUGGGUGAGAAUCCCACAGGCCGUAAACCCAAGGUUUCCAGGGGAAGGUUCGUCCGCCCUGGGUUAGUCGGGACCUAAGCUGAGGCCGAAAGGCGUAGGUGAUGGACAACAGGUUGAUAUUCCUGUACUACCGAUAACCGUUUGAGAGAAGGGAUGACACAGUAGGAUAAGCUAAGCACACUGUUGGUUAUGUGUGCCCAAGCAUUGAGGCAGUCAAAGUAGGCAAAUCCGCUUUGAUAAUGCUGGGAUGUGAUGGGGAGCGAAAUUUAGUAGCGAAGUAGCUGAUUUCACACUGUCAAGAAAAGUCUCUAUCGAGGUUAAAGGUACCCGUACCGCAAACCGACACAGGUGGGUGAGGAGAGUAUCCUAAGGCCAGCGAGAGAACUGUUGUUAAGGAACUCGGCAAAAUGACCCCGUAACUUAGGGAUAAGGGGUGCCACCAUCAGGUGGCCGCAGAGAAUAGGCCCAAGCGACUGUUUACCAAAAACAUAGGUUUCUGCUAAGUCGCAAGACGAUGUAUAGGAGCUGACGCCUGCCCGGUGCUGGAAGGUUAAGGGGAUCUGUUAGAGCAAUCGAAGCAGUGAACUUAAGCCCCAGUAAACGGCGGCCGUAACUAUAACGGUCCUAAGGUAGCGAAAUUCCUUGUCGGGUAAGUUCCGACCCGCACGAAAGGCGUAACGAUUUGGGCACUGUCUCAACAACAGACUCGGUGAAAUUGUAAUUCCGGUGAAGAUGCCGGAUACCUGCGACAGGACGGAAAGACCCCAUGGAGCUUUACUGUAGCUUGACAUUGGGUCUUGGUACUACAUGUACAGGAUAGGUGGGAGGCUUUGAAACCAGGACGCCAGUUUUGGCGGAGCCAUCCUUGGGAUACCACCCUUGUAGUACUGGGACUCUAACCAUAGGCCAUGAAUCUGGUCUUGGGACACUGUCAGGUGGGCAGUUUGACUGGGGCGGUCGCCUCCCAAAAGGUAACGGAGGCGCUCAAAGGUUCUCUCAGUACGGUCGGAAAUCGUACGUAGAGUGUAAAGGCAAAAGAGAGCUUGAUUGCAAGACAUACAGGUCGAGCAAGGAUGAAAAUCGGACUUAGUGAUCCGGUGGUUCUGCGUGGAAGGGCCAUCGCUCAACGGAUAAAAGCUACCCUGGGGAUAACAGGCUUAUCUCCCCCAAGAGUCCACAUCGACGGGGAGGUUUGGCACCUCGAUGUCGGCUCAUCACAUCCUGGGGCUGUAGUAGGUCCCAAGGGUUGGGCUGUUCGCCCAUUAAAGUGGUACGCGAGCUGGGUUCAGAACGUCGUGAGACAGUUCGGUCCCUAUCCGUCGCAGGCGUAGGAAAUUUGAGAAGACCUGUCCUUAGUACGAGAGGACCGGGAUGGACGUACCUCUGGUGUACCAGUUGUCCUGCCAAGGGCAUGGCUGGGUAGCUAUGUACGGAAUGGAUAAGCGCUGAAAGCAUCUAAGCGCGAAGCCAACUUCAAGAUAAGAUUUCCCACCGCAAGGGUAAGACCCCAGAAAGACUAUCUGGUUGA